rnacentral:lncRNA from 10 species
AAAAGGGGGAAAGCAGAAUGACAGAGGAGGUGUGAAGAGAGAGAAGCCCUCUGGAGUGCUGAAAUACUGAAUAUUCUCCCCUGGGAGCUACUCAGGACUACACUGAAGGCUGGUUACGCUCUUAUGUGCAAUAGAACCUCAAACACAUCGUAACACACCUUUGGAGAAUCCUUACAAGAACACCAAGUUAACAGUUAUCUCUGACCACACUACCUCAGCAAAAAACCAGGAAGAAAAAAUAUUCUUCAACCCUUUUCAGGGACAGAAAGCAUCAUUUCAAAAGUCCAAGAAGGGAAGCAAAACUUCUGACCUGAGACAUCGAAGCAGAUAAAAAGCCGCUACACAAAAUGUAUCGCUACAACUAGAGGGCAGUCUUGCCUUUCUUCCAUUCAAUUAUUCAGUUUCUCAUGUUCCUAAGUGCCAGCCCAGAACCAUGGAAUGUGAAGAAACACAAAACUCACUCCUCUGCAUCAGUGAAUUGAUUGUGUGGUGGGGAUGUAAGUCUGCAUGUGACUGACAGUUCCCCAAAGUGGUGCCAAGUCAAUCUAAACUAGAGAGAAUUUCUGGCCAGGCCAAGCAGAGAUUUCAUGGAUGAAGUCUCCCAAAGACUGAUUUCCUAAACAUUAAACAUCACUGGUUUUCCAAAACUGGUUUUCUUUUUUUUUUUUUAACCCUGUUUCUCAGGCUGGAGGGCAAGUGGUGCCAUCUCCACUCACUGCAGCCUCGACCUCCCAGGCUCCACUGAUCUUCCCACCUCAGCCUCCUGAGUAGCUGGGACUACAGGUGUGCACCGCCACGACUCGCUAAUUUUUGUAUUUUUUGUAGAGACGGGGUUUUGCUGUGUUGCUCAGGCUGGUCACUCGAUCUGCCCACCUGGGUCUCGCAGAGUGCUGGGGUUACAGGUAUGAGCCACCACGCCCAGCCCACUGGUUUCCUUUACACCCGUUUUGUUCCCCAGCAGUCCUUAUGAGGGCACCUGAAAUAAGGAACCUCCUCCCCGACUUGAGAGCAGCAAAGCCUUCAGAGGGAACUAAGUUAUUAAAACCCACCCCACACAAAAUGCUUCUAAACGCCUUGGCUGACUUAAUCCUUGCAGUGUGCUGAGGUUAAGUAUGAUUAUCCAUCUCCUGUGAACAGGAAGACUGAGGCUCAGAGCUUAAGUGAUUUGCCCACGGUUCACUGCAGGGGAUAAAACUCGGCUGUCCCUGGCAGGUCCCAAAGUCACGGCCUUCAGGCUCCCACACCAUGCUGCCUCCCUCACCGGGGCUCCACACUCUCAGCCUGGAAAACACUAAUUUUAAGAAAACCAUGACUUACGAAAAGCAGCCAAUCCCAGCAUUGGAACCAACAGGGCAUAAUUCCACCUGCUUCCAUCACCACCAUCCGCCCUGGAAUUAGGCCGGAUAUUCCAAUUUGGGGGAUCAUUUAGGUUAUUCAUGGAGAUAUACCUUGAAGUAAAGAAUAAAAACGUUAACUACUUUUAUUCAAGAAAUUUUUCUUCAGUUUUAACUAUGUGCUUGCUGCACAGCACUGAGGCCCUACGGGAUUCAAAGAAGAAAAAAACUAGACCAGAGCCGGGCAUGGUGGCGGGCACCUGUAGUCCCAGCUACUCGGGAGGCUGAGGCAGGAGAAUCGCUUGAACCUGGGAGGUGAAGGUUGCAGUGAGUCGAGGUCGCGCCACUGCACUCCAGCCUGGUGACAGAACGAGACUCCGUCUCAAAAAAAAAGAAAAAGAAAAAGGAAAAAAAAACAAGACCUUAGGUGAAAGCGACUCACAAUCUGGUUGGGGAAAGUGGAGAAAACAGACAUGUCUUAAGCAUCUGAAGUGCAGGUAGAAUCAGGUAAGUUCUCUGGUACAAAUAUAUUUAAAUGUAUGGCUGCUGCGAUGGUUAAUUUUGUUUGUCAACUUGACGGCAUCAUGAGGUGCUCAGAUACAUGGUUAAGCAUUAUUUCUGGGCGUGUCUGUAAGGGUGUUUUUGGAUGAGAUUAGCAAUUGAACCUUUAAACCAAUUUCUUACGUCUCCCUUCUAUUUGUUGUGUCUCUG